rnacentral:rRNA from 1 species
UACGGGGGGGGCAAGCGUUGUUCGGAUUUACUGGGCGUAAAGGGCGCGUAGGCGGUCAGCACAAGUCAGUUGUGAAAUCUCCGGGCUUAACUCGGAAAGGUCAACUGAUACUGUGCGACUAGAGUGCAGAAGGGGCAACUGGAAUUCUCGGUGUAGCGGUGAAAUGCGCAGAUAUCAGGAGGAACACCGGUGGCGAAGGCGGGUCUCUGGGCCGAUAUUGACGCUGAGAAGCGAAAGCGAGGGGAGCGAACAGG